UACGUAGGGUGCAGGCGUUAAUCGGAAUUACUGGGCGUAAAGCGUGCGCAGGCGGUUUCUUAAGUCAGAUGUGAAAGCCCCGGGCUUAACCUGGGAACUGCGUUUGAAACUGGGAGACUUGAGUGUGGCAGAGGGGGGUGGAAUCCCACGUGUAGCAGUGAAAUGCGUAGAUAUGUGGAGGAACACCGAUGGCGAAGGCAGCCCCCUGGGUUAACACUGACGCUCAUGCACGAAAGCGUGGGGAGCAAACAGG
rnacentral:rRNA from 1 species